rnacentral:rRNA from 1 species
AGAAUCAACGCUGGCGGCGUGCCUAACACAUGCAAGUCGAACGAGAAAGUGGAGCAAUCCAUGAGUAAAGUGGCGCACGGGUGAGUAACACGUGACUAACCUACCCUUGAGUGGGGGAUAACCUAGGGAAACCUGGGCUAAUACCGCAUAAUACCUAUGGGUCAAAGGAGCAAUUCGCUUAAGGAGGGGGUCGCGGCCGAUUAGUUAGUUGGCGGGGUAAUGGCCCACCAAGACGAUGAUCGGUA